UAAACAAUCGGCUGUACACCGAUUGAAAGAAGUGCCCUGAAGUAAAUAUUUUGUGCAAAUUCAAGCUUGAACGAUAAAGUUAUUUUUGGAGCUCUGUGUAAUUGUUUCUAAACAAUCUGCUGUGCACUUUUUUUUUGUUGGAGCUUUGAAACAAGCGUAUGUGUAGUGUAUUUUAAACACACGGAUGUGUAAAUUCGAGUUCGGAAGUUAAAGUGAUUUAUUUCGAAAAACGUAUCUUUUUCCAGUUACUACCAAAUUAUGGAAUGGACCGUGGAGAGGUUUUAAAGUGAUAACACUAUAUAGACAAUUUCCAUUGAAAAAAAUGCGUGGGAAGAAAUUUCAAAAAACCUUAAUAAAUCUACCGAUGAUACUAAAAAAAAAUUAAAAACCUGAGAUCAGCAUAUGUAAUGGAGAAAAAAAGAUGGAUAAAUCCAAAAAAUCUGGAUCAACAGUAGAUGAUAUCUACAGACCCCAUUUAUACUAUUUUCAAGAAAUGCGUUUUUUAGAUAACGUUGUUGUAUUAAUUUUUCUUCGAAUAUAUGUGAAAAGGAAGUAAUUGAACUUACCCCAGAAACAGUGAAUACGGAAUUUUACGAAUACAGCCAAGAAAGCUUCUCCGACAUUUCCUUAAACGAAACGCCAACAACAUCCACAAAAUCAAAGACCAAAAAAAUUAAACUUGAAAGGGGCAAAAAAAUUAAUUCAGCGCUAGAUAAAAUAUUAUUCAACUGUGAAGAAAAAGAUACAAUGUUUUCAAGUUUCGGAAAAUCUGUGGAACUUCAACUGUCUGAAAUGUCUUUAAUUUCAGCCACAAAAGCUAUGGCAGAAAUUCAGUUGGUGUUAUCAAAAUUUAUGGAAGCAGAAUCCAAAAGCAAUAUCUUAGAAAAAGCUAUUUGUAAUUCCGAAAUAUUCUAAUUAUUUUUAAUUUAUGUAUCGUCACCUAAAACGCAAACGGCCCUAUCUAACAUUUUUAAAAUUUUACGCGAUUUAUUUCUUGUAAAUAAACAAAUUGUUUAAUAGUGAAAGCUAUCAUUUGUUUUGAUAGUUGACAAUGUCGUUUAUAAAAAUGGAUAAAUGGGACUUUUUACCUUUAAUAUUUAAAUGUUUCGCCUUUUGUUUUGUGCAAAUAAAUUCAAUAAUUUUGGUAGGCUUUUCGUUUGAUGUAUUACAUAAGAAUCGAUUUUGAAAUUUUUCCCCUUUGCGUUUCAGGUGACGAUAUGUAGCAAAACCGACAAAUGAAAUCUAUAAAUGAAUACCUUUAUAUGUAUCACAAAUUAACAAAGUCAGUAGUUCGCUGCGCGAAGUGUGUACUAAUUUGAAUUACAUAUAUGUAUACUAAUGUGUGUACCUGCAUUAUGUUUUUAUAUAAUUAAUUUUUAUAUAAUUAAGUACUUUGAAUAAGUUUCCACUUCACAAACUUUUGCUAAAUUUAAUUCAUGUAUAUUACAUUAACAUUUAUUAAAUUUAUAUUGUAAAGUCUUUAAAAAACUUAGACUGACGU